rnacentral:rRNA from 1 species
UACGUAGGGGGCUAGCGUUGUCCGGAAUCACUGGGCGUAAAGGGCGCGUAGGUGGCGACCCAAGUCGAUGGUGAAAGCUCGCCGCUCAACGGCGAGUCGGCCACCGAUACUGGGUUGCUCGAGCACUGUAGAGGCUAAUGGAAUUCCGGGUGUAGCGGUGGAAUGCGCAGAUAUCAGGAGGAACACCAAUGGCGGAAGGCAGCACUCGUGGGACGGUACUGACGCUGAGACGCGAAAGCGUGGGGGAGCAAA